rnacentral:rRNA from 1 species
AGUGAACGCUGGCGGUAGGCCUAACACAUGCAAGUCGAACGGCAGCACAGGAGAGCUUGCUCUCUGGGUGGCGAGUGGCGGACGGGUGAGGAAUACAUCGGAAUCUACUUUUUCGUGGGGGAUAACGUAGGGAAACUUACGCUAAUACCGCAUACGACCUUCGGGUGAAAGCAGGGGAUCUUCGGACCUUGCGCGAUUGAAUGAGCCGAUGUCGGAUUAGCUAGCUGGCGGGGUAAAGGCCCACCAAGGCGACGAUCCGUAGCUGGUCUGAGAGGAUGAUCAGCCAAACUGGAACUGAGACACGGUCCAGACUCCUACGGGAGGCAGCAGUGGGGAAUAUUGGACAAUGGGCGCAAGCCUGAUCCAGCCAUACCGCGUGGGUGAAGAAGGCCUUCGGGUUGUAAAGCCCUUUUGUUGGGAAAGAAAUCCAGCUGGUUAAUACCCGGUUGGGAUGACGGUACCCAAAGAAUAAGCACCGGCUAACUUCGUGCCAGCCGCCGCAGUAA